UCCCUGGUUGUCCAGUGGUUAGGACUUGGCACUUUCACUGCUGUGGCCUGGGUUGGAUCCCCGCUUGGGUA
rnacentral:tRNA from 1 species